CCAAAUCUUGUUUUUGAUCCACCUUGGCAAAUUUCAAUUUUUUACUCAGAUGUUUAUUUUCCUGGUUGUAUCCGUAAGUCUCAAGAAAACAUAUCUGUCAUACCUGUGAACUGUUUAUAGAGUAACAAAAAAACCCUGAAUAUUCAAUCAAAAUAUGGUUGUUAUAGAUACAAAAAUUUUCUGAAUGUGGAUUAUUUCUAUACUUUUUGUCAAGUAAUCUGUUCGAACUUACUACUUCUGUUCAGUGAUGAAACAUGUUUUGUGCUUGCCUGUCCAUCAGUGUGGCUGAGCCUCUUGUACCUGAGGUACACAGGACAGAAGGUGCAGAUAGCGGUGUUAUUGGCAGCUGAGUACUAAUGAAGGAAAAAACAGGAAGUACAUCUGGAAAACCAGCCUUGAAAUACUGCAGGAGUGAAAUGGAUGUCACUGCCUUUUGACCCUGAGGGUUAGAGUGUUUCAGAUGCAGUAAAACAUCAGAAAAGAAGACAAUGAAUCUCACUACUUUGUUAAAGUUAUGAGAAACAGUGGUCUCACGAUUCCUCAUGGAGAUUUUUAGAGAAAACAAGUUCC
ensembl:lncRNA